AGAAGAAAGAAAACCU
rnacentral:sRNA from 1 species